rnacentral:rRNA from 1 species
GGUUGAUCCUGCCAGUAGUCAUAUGCUUGUCUCAAAGAUUAAGCCAUGCAUGUCUAAGUAUAAACAUCUUUAUACCGUGAAACUGCGUACAGCUCAUUAUAUCAGUUAUUAUUUAUUUGAUGGUACCUUACUACAUGGAUAACCGUAGUAAUUCUAGAGCUAAUACAUGCGUCAAGUCCCGACUUCUGGAAGGGAUGUAUUUAUUAGAUUAAAAACCAAUGCAAGUGCGUUAAAAACACUUGCUCCUUUGGUGAUUCAUAGUAACUUUAACGGAUCGCACGGCUUCAUGCUGG